GGAGCAUCUCUCAAAUCAGCUGCCUGGUGAAGUUUUACUGAACACACUGGUAGAUUUUUUUGCACAACUAGUUGGAUGUAGUGGGAAAUGUAAUCCUCCCAAUGCCUCUGUCUAAGAGGAUGCAAAUGAGCUUGCCAGCACAAUGCCUUGGGAACGUUUCUUUCAUGCAAAACCCAGGUAGAUAAACAAGGAGGGGAGGAGGGAGAGGGGAAAGGGAUUGUUUGCUUCUAUAAACAACAAGAAUUAACUGUGUUCAGUAAAUGACAGAUGGGCUAAGAUCAAAAUCUGAAUCUUUCUCAAUGUGGAUGAAAUCUUCACCCCUAUCUCUGCGUUGCAUCAAACCCCAUUGCACAGCCUGUCCGGUGCCAUGGGGCAAUGACAGGGCAGGGUGACAGGAGCUGGGAUGUGUGGCUGUGCUCAGGCCAGCAUGCCAGGAGGGACACGAAAUACCUCUGCUGUGAAUCUGAAGUGUCUCUGAACCACAGCUGCUCCCUGGGAAACACCAGCAGACCCUGUGGCAGGACACAGGGAAGGUUGUUGCCUCCUGGUGCUUUCACCAGCCUGAGCUGCUGCAGGAAAAGGGACCCAGCUGAGUCCUGGUUUAGUGCAACCAACUGUGGAAAGCACUGCAAGGAGUCUGAAAGCUCAGAGGGAGCAGAAAAACUCCAUGGUAUAAACAGCAUCUCUCUGAGGGCCAUGUCCCAGUACUUGGUACUCACCUGUGCUUAUAAUGUCUGAAUGUAUACUGUGAUUAUAACGUGCUCAGGAGGCAUCAUUGCUGCCCCAGUCCCAGCCAUGCACAGGGUGUGCUGGGGGAAACCCAAGGCACACACACCUCAUGCCACUGUGCACACUCAGGAGGAUUGGGAAAAUCAGGGAAUAGGCAAAAUCAAGGACUAACUCAGCUCCAAACGUCUGGGGAGAUCAGCUCUCCUUGUUAGUCCCGGAAUAAGAGCAAUGCCUAAGGGUUCUGAGAAGCAAAUUGCUGCUCUCCAGCUCCUGUCCCCACCUCUGCUACAGAAAAACUGGGGGAUCUGAGAAAAGUCCCUCUGCCUCUCCCACCCUGCCCCGACAGGGAGGUUUGUCAGUCAAUUAUUUCACCUUUGCAAACCCAUUUUCAAACCUUUUUUGAAAGCAAGUGAUAGAAGGGAAAAAUCUUGUUACUGCUCUGAAAGAGCCUUUUGUGAAGAUGCUUGUUAAUGAGCUUGCUUAAUGAGUUUUCUUAAAUCUAUAUUUAUAUCCUAUAUACAGCUGUAUAUAGAUAGACCAAUGCCUAAAAUACGUAUGGAUUGCACACACAUAUGCCUGGACUGAUUAACACACAGCUUUUUCUCUUAUUACCAUGCAAGUAUUUAUUCAUUUUCCUUGGAAAUUGAGGAGAUAAAAGAUCCAUUCUGGAAUAAAAUAAUUUUGUGCAUA